AAAUUGAAGAGUUUGAUCAUGGCUCAGAUUGAACGCUGGCGGCAGGCCUAACACAUGCAAGUCGAACGGUAACAGGAAGCAGCUUGCUGCUUCGCUGACGAGUGGCGGACGGGUGAGUAAUGUCUGGGAAACUGCCUGAUGGAGGGGGAUAACUACUGGAAACGGUGGCUAAUACCGCAUAACAUCGCAAGACCAAAGAGGGGGACCUUCGGGCCUCUUGCCAUCAGAUGUGCCCAGAUGGGAUUAGCUUGUUGGUGAGGUAACGGCUCACCAAGGCGACGAUCCCUAGCUGGUCUGAGAGGAUGACCAGCCACACUGGA
rnacentral:rRNA from 1 species